AUUGAACGCUGGCGGCAGGCCUAACACAUGCAAGUCGAGCGAGCGGCGGACGGGUGAGUAAUGUAUGGGGAUCUGCCUGAUAGAGGGGGAUAACUACUGGAAACGGUGGCUAAUACCGCAUACCAUCGGAUGUACCCAUCUCGGAUUAGCUAGUAGGGUGGGUAAAGGCUCACCUAGGCGACGAUCUCUACCUGGUCUGAGAGGAUGCCCAGCCACACUGGAACGGAGACACGGCCCAGACUCAGACGGGAGGCAGCAGUGGGGAAUAUUGCACAAUGGGCGCAAGCCUGAUGCAGCCAUGCCGCGUGUAUGAAGAAGGCCUUAGGGUUGUAAAGUACUUUCAGCGGGGAGGCGUUACCAGCAGAAGAAGCACCGGCUAACUCCGUGCCAGCAGCCGCGGUAAUUC
rnacentral:rRNA from 1 species